rnacentral:rRNA from 1 species
UACAGAGGUCUCAAGCGUUGUUCGGAUUCAUUGGGCGUAAAGGGUGCGUAGGCGGCGCGGUAAGGUCGGGUGUGAAAUCUUGGAGCUUAACUCCGAAAUUGCACUGGAUACUGCUCUGCUAGAGGGCUGGAGAGGAGAUCGGAAUUCACGGUGUAGCAGCGAAAUGCGUAGAUAUCGUGAGGAAGACCAGUGGCGAAGGCGGAUCUCUGGACAGCUCCUGACGCUGAGGCGCGAAGGCUAGGGGAGCAAACGGG